GACGAACGCUGGCGGCGUGCUUAACACAUGCAAGUCGAACGGAAAGGCCUGCUUUCCCUUGUGGAUUGCGGGUACUCGAGUGGCGAACGGGUGAGUAACACGUGAGUGAUCUGCCCCCAACUUGGGUAUAGGCCUGGGAAACUGGGUCUAAUUCCCGAUAGGACUGCAGGGUGGUGCCUGUGGUGGAAAACGAUUUUCUAGUGGUUGGGGAUGAGCUCGCGGCCUAUCAGCUUGUUGGUGGGGUAAUGGCCUACCAAGGCGGCGACGGGUAGCCGGCCUGGGAGGGUGGACGGCCACAGUGGGACUGAGAUACGGCCCAGACUCCUACGGGAGGCAGCAGUGGGGAAUAGUGCACAAUGGGCGGAAGCCUGAUGCAGCGACGCCGCGUGGGGGAUGACGGCCUUCGGGUUGUAAACUCCUUUCGACCGCGAGGAAGCCACCUGGUUGGAAGGGUGGUGACGGUAGUGGUAGAAGAAGCACCGGCUAACUACGUG
rnacentral:rRNA from 1 species